ensembl:lincRNA
GCUGCAGAAUAUAUAGGACUUCAUAAUUCACUCAGAAAUCCCAUCAUUGAUACUUUUCCUAUGAUAUAACUAUUGUUUUGAAUAUAUCCUGCUUCAAAUGAAAAAUAGAGAAUGUAUCAAUGUCAAGAAAUUCAAAAGGUAAGUUAGCUAACAUUUCAAAAAUCCCAAGUCCUUACAGUCUACCUUACUCUACCCACACUACCAGAACAUUCUGAACUACAACACAACUGCUUUUUAACAGAUCCUAUUUUUGCUCACAGACUAAGAUACAUUAAAACUGGGAGAAAAAAUGUAUGAACUCAAGGAACCAUUUUACCCACACCUAGACUAAUUCUAGUCUUACUAAAUAUAGAUCAGCUCCCCUGUCCCCAGAAUCACCCCCACCUCCAGCAUGAGCCUGAGGGCUUACCUCCAACAUGACCACGCAGAUCUGUUUGACACACUCAAUGAUGGACUGCGGAAUGCCAGCAAUAGUGAUUGCCCGCUCAGUUGAGUUGGGGAGCAUAUCCCCUGCCACCUGGACCUGAGCCCCUGUACUCUUUAGGGUAAAAGGAAAUUAAACAAACAAAAAGAAAUUUCAGAAAACCUGUUCUUCAAUUCCUUUACACCAGCUUUAGAAUAUCAAGUUCAAUAGAGCCUUAUUUCCACCCUUUCUUUCUCAUUUCCCAUUCUUCCUUACUCCAGAUAUUACUGCUUAUUAAAGUUAAAAAUACAAUACCUCUGAGAGACAAGAAUAAAUCUGAGUAACAGCCUACAUUUAACCUGCACUCAGAAAAAAAGUCCCUUCUAUACAAUUUACUCUUACCGAGUAAUGAAAGCUUUGUGGGUCAAACAAAAUCCUCUUAAUAUCACCCAUUCCACCAGGUAGUGGUGGCGCACACCUUUAAUCCCAGCACUUGGGAGGCAGAGGUAGGCUGAUUUCUGAGUUUGAGGCCAGCCUGGUCUACAGAGUGAGUUCCAGGACAGCCAGGGCUAUACAGAGAAACCCUGUCUCGAAAAACCAAACCAAAAAGAAAAAGAAAACAAAACAAAAAACACCCAUUCAUUUUUCUCUUAUUGAGCAAAUAUUUUGUCAGGUACCAUUCCAACCAAGUAUUCAUCAAAAGAAAAUCUUACACUGGUGUUUACACUUACAAUCUCAUCACUGAAAAGGUGAAAGAGGAAAACCAUCUAAUAUGUUUGUAACCAGUCUGGGAUAUAGUGAGAGACUAUAAUAAACUUAACUAAAGCUACCAUCCCCCACACCAACAAACACAUAUUCCUGGACCAAAACAACUAACAAUCCUGAACAAAGACUUCAAAACAUUCCAACUAGUUUUGGAAUCAUUUAGUAACAUUUCACUUAGACAUGAAAAAUGUCAUGAGAGAUGGCUCAGUAAGGUUAAGAGCACUGACUGCUCUUACAGAGAUCCUGAGUUCAAUUCCCAGCAACCACAUAGUAGCUCACAACUAUGUGUAAUGGGAUCUGAUGCCCUCUUCUGGUGUGUCUGAAAAAAGCUUCAGUGUGUGUACUCAUAUACAUUAGUAAGUAAAUAAUCGUACAAAGAAAAAAGGGGGGGUGGGAGUAUAGAGACUGUCUAAAAAAAAGAAAAAACAUAUCUAGGGAAAUGCCAGAUAGCUCAAGAGGUAAAAAUACCUUACAUUCAAUCCCUGGGGGACUCACAUGGUACAAAGAGAGAACCAAGACCUGCAAGUUGUUCUGACCAAGCAAGUAUAUACACAAACACACACAAUGUAAUAAAUUGUUUCAGGCACGUAUGCUGCACCUUCUUUAAAUUACCAGUACUUAAGACACAGAGGAAGGAGGAUCUCUGCAUUCACAACCAGCCUAGUCUACAAAAAUAAGUAUUAGGCAGAAAGGCUUCACAGUGAGUCCUACUCUGAAAUUUUUAAUUAUUUUAAGGGGCUGGAAAAAUGGUUAAGACCAUUUGUUGCUAUUGCUAGGGACCUGGAUUUAGUUCCUACUACCAACAUGGAGCUUAAAACCACCUAUAACACCAUCCAGGAGAUCCAUCUCUUUUCUGAAUUCCACUAAUGGCACAUAUAUAGUACAUACAUACAUACACACACAGUAAGACUAAAAGCUUACAAAUAAAAUAAUGCUAUUAAAUUCUUUAAGCUUAUAGAUGGCUCUGGAUUUACAGUAUAUAUUGUUCUUGUAGAAAAACUGAGUUCAGGGGCUGAGAGAUGGUAGCUCUGCAGUUAAGACAACUGACUGCUCUUCCAGAGGUCCUGAGUCCAAUUCCCAGCAAUCACGUGGUAGCUCAAAGCAUUUGUAAUGAAAUCUGAUGUGUGUGUGUAUGCAUGUAUGAAAAGAAAAGAAAAAAACCUGAGUUCAAUUCCAAGCACCCAUAAAAGUUCACUCCCAACACAUGAAAACUCUAGCACCAAGGGAUCCAAAAACCCAACUCACAUGCAAAUAAAUCUACAAGUGGCUCAUGGCUUUAAACCCAGCACUCAGAAGGCAGAGGCAGGAUGUUUUAAGUUCGAAUCCAGCCUGGUCUACAGAGUGAGUUCCAGGACAGCCAGGGCUACACAGAGAAACCCUGUCUCGAAAAACCAAAAAAAAAAAAAAAAGCUGGGGAGGGCAUUUGCAUUUGUGAUCCUAAGACUUGAAGACAGACAAGAGAAUCCCUGGGGGCUUUAGAGGAUAAACUGGGGGUGGGUGGACACCACACACAAAAAAAACACCAAACAAACAAAAGUAAAAA